rnacentral:lncRNA from 1 species
GUGAAAAAUGUGACAGGGUUAUAAUCUCAACAAUAUAAACUCGCUUUUUGAAAUUUUGUAUAUGAACUAAAUAGGAUUUUUCUCAAUAUUGCGACAAAAUUGAAAUAACAAAUGCAAUAAUUUCUGAAUUUACAUUAGCAAAUAAAAUAUCUUAGAAAUAACAAGUGAAACUGCGAGCUACUGCUCACUGAUGAUACCCCCGCCGCAAGUGGAUAAUAUUAAUAGUGUAAAAAUAUUUAAGUGUAAAAAUAUGCAAGUGUUCGGUAAACAGGAAGUUGUCGAGUGAUGAAUCUGAAAACGCAUCACACGGUAUAGCUGACUUAUAAAAAUCCUGAAACCAAAUUUCAGAAAUCCUUGUAUUGUAGUUCCUGAGAAAAAUGUGACGAAAAUUUUCAACUUGGUUAUCAUGUGUUAAAUCAUACAAGUGUUCGGUGAACAGGAAGUAGUCGAGUGAUGAAUCUGAAAACGCAUCACACGGUAUAGCUGACUUAUAUAAAUCCUGAAACCAAAUUUCAGAAAUCCUUGUAUUGUAGUUCCUGAGGAAAAAUGUGACGAAAAUUUUCAACUUGGCUAUCAUGUGUAAAAUCAUACAAGUGUUCGGUAAACAGGAAGUUGUCGAUUGAUGAAUCUGAAAACGCAUCACACAGUAUAGCUGACUUAUAUAAAUCCUGAAACCAAAUUUCAGAAAUCCUUGUAUUGUAGUUCCUGAGAAAAAUGUGACGAAAAUUUUCAACUUGGCUAUCAUGUGUAAAAUCAGACAAGUGUUCGGUAAACAGGAAUUCUAAUGCAACUAGUUUGUAACGAUAAUUUGCAUUGGACGUUGAUAAAUAUUUUGAGGGGUUAGAUUCCACGUUCUACCAGUCCGUAACUAAGAGAGCCACCAUUUUGAAUUCCGAUUUUUUUGGGAUAUGUAAUUUCUCAAAAAAUAAAUAUUUUACUUAUAUAAGUAAUAUAAGUAUUGUUUAUACAAACAGAAAAGCCAUUUCAGUUUACAAGUAAUUAAUAUUAUGAUAAAGAUGCUGACAUCAUGGAUGUAAUUAAUUAACAUACACAGACCACUUGUUAUAUCUUGAGGUUAAUUUGUCUAACAUUUGACACUUUGAAGUUACAACUGGAAUCUCACUAGGAGGCACACUAAUCUUUUCUUAAUCAGAUACAUGUCACAAACAAUCACUGUAGGAGAGGAAAGCAGAAUAUGAUACCAGAUCUCUUUAAUACUGAUUACACAAUAAAUAGUAUAUUAUUUGAGGGUCAGUAGGUCAGUCUCCUGCCCCUGGAUGUUAGAUGUACCCAAUCUGUGUGUAGAGCCAAUUGCAUGGUCUUUCUGAAGCGUACGAAAAGUAAAAAUACGUUUAGUAUUCAUGUUUGACAUCCAGAGUAAACUCAUGACGUCACAUUGUUUAGAUGCUAAAGACAUUGCAACAGUUUCGCGGACUUUUUCAUAUAUGCCAUUUUUUAGCCAAAAUAUUUAUUAAAUGACAUUUAUUUUAAUAUGUGGCAUUAGAAUGGAGAUAACUGUAUUGUAUUUUAAGCUUGGCCUUCGUAAAACUUGAUUUUACUGUCGCAAAUAUCCGUUUACCUAUCUCCGCUCCGCGUCGCUAGGUAAACUCAAUUUGCGACGGUAAAAUCUACGUUUUACGAAGGCCAAGCUUAAAAUACAAUACAGUUAUCUCCUAAGUUGUCAAGUGAUGAAUCUGAAAACGCAUCACACGGUAUGGCUGACAUAUAUAAAUGUUGAUACCAAAUUACAGAAAGGGUGGAUGUGUAGUUCCUGAGAAAAAGGUGACGAAAGUUUCAUGGGACGGACUGACUGACGGACGGACUGAUGGACGGACGGAUGGACUGAUGGACGGACGGACUGACAGACAGAGGUAAAACAGUAUACCCCCCCUUUUUUUAAAGCGGGGGGUAUAAAAAGACAUUAUGGUGUUUUCAAAAAUAUUGCUAUCAACAACAAAGAUUAUCACUAAAAGGGCUAAAUUGAUCAAUUCUUGCUUAUAGUUUUGUAUUAUACCAAUACCUCCUAAACAAUUUAUAUUCAAGAUUUGAUAAGUGUGAUAAUACACAACCUUUUUUUUAAUGACAGUAACCAAAGUGUUAUAGUGCUGGAAAAUUUCUAAGUAAAAGGGUUUACUAUUAAACUUUCAUUUAAAUAUUGUAUUUGAGGAAUACUUAAUCGAACUAACUUACGUUUUCCAUACAAAAAUCAAACAAACACAUACUUUUACUUGAUUUUGAAAGAACUAUAGAAUGAAAAACAUGUGCACUUUAUUCUUUAUGAUUAACAAAAUGGCCAAACACGAUGACAAUAAAAGUAAAUGCUUUUAAAAACAGUGGUGAAAUAACACGAUUUUCAUUAAUGAACGGCCAAAAUUAUAUAGAAGAUGAAAGUGAAUAUAGACAGUUUAUUGCUGCAAUUAUGUGAUUGUUUAUUGCACUGGAUAUGAUUAAUUUAUCAAAUU